UACAGAGGUCUCAAGCGUUGUUCGGAUUCAUUGGGCGUAAAGGGUGCGUAGGUGGCGGGGUAAGUCAGGUGUGAAAUCUCGAGGCUCAACCUCGAAACUGCACUUGAUACUGCCUUGCUGAGUACUGGAGAGGAGAUUGGAAUUUACGGUGUAGCAGUGAAAUGCGUAGAUAUCGUAAGGAAGACCAGUGGCGAAGGCGAAUCUCUGGACAGUUACUGACACUGAGGCACGAAGGCCAGGGGAGCAAACGGG
rnacentral:rRNA from 1 species